AGAGUUGGCGAGAGAGUUGCGGGUUAUUAAAAUCAAAUAAUCUGAGGAAAGUCCGGACUCCCAAAAGAUCAAACUUGCUGGAUAAUACCCAGUGCGCGCGAGCGUGAGGACAGUGUCACAGAAAAAUACCGCCUUGAUAAAAGGUAAGGGUGCAAAGGUAUGGUAAGAGCAUACCAGCAGUAUUGUGAGAUACUGGCUCGGCAAACCCCAGUUGGGAGCAAGGUCGAAGGGAUAUAGGUUGAUCUUUUUCCAAUCCCAUCUAGGUGUACCGCAAGAGAUAUUUGGUAACAAAUAUCCCAGAUAGAUAACUCUCCUUUAGAACAAAAUCCGGCUUAUGUCCAACUCUUUUU
rfam:Candidatus Atelocyanobacterium thalassa isolate ALOHA, complete genome.